CGCCCAGUAGCUCAACUGCAUAGAGCCGUGGUAUCCGCGAGGUUGGGAGUUGGAGUCUCCCCUGGGCUUCCCA
rnacentral:tRNA from 1 species